AUUGAACGCUGGCGGCAGGCCUAACACAUGCAAGUCGAACGGUAACAGGAAGCAGCUUGCUGCUUUGCUGACGAGUGGCGGACGGGUGAGUAAUGUCUGGGAAACUGCCUGAUGGAGGGGGAUAACUACUGGAAACGGUAGCUAAUACCGCAUAACGUCGCAAGACCAAAGAGGGGGACCUUAGGGCCUCUUGCCAUCGGAUGUGCCCAGAUGGGAUUAGUUAGUAGGUGGGGUAACGGCUCACCUAGGCGACGAUCCCUAGCUGGUCUGAGAGGAUGACCAGCCACACUGGAACUGAGACACGGUCCAGACUCCUACGGGAGGCAGCAGUGGGGAAUAUUGCACAAUGGGCGCAAGCCUGAUGCAGCCAUGCCGCGUGUAUGAAGAAGGCCUUCGGGUUGUAAAGUACUUUCAGCGGGGAGGAAGGGAGUAAAGUUAAUACCUUUGCUCAUUGACGUUACCCGCAGAAGAAGCACCGGCUAACUCCGUG
rnacentral:rRNA from 1 species